CCUACGGGAGGCAGCAGUAGGGAAUAUUGGGCAAUGGAGGCAACUCUGACCCAGCCAUGCCGCGUGAACGAAGAAGGCGCUAUGCGUCGUAAAGUUCUUUUAGAGGGGGCGAAAACACUUGAUUCAUCAAGUACUGACGGUACCUUCGGAAUAAGCACCGGCUAACUCUGUGCCAGCAGCCGCGGUAAUACAGAGGGUGCAAGCGUUAUCCGGAAUCACUGGGUUUAAAGGGUGCGUAGGCGGGAUUAUAAGUCAGAGGUGAAAUCUCGUCGCUUAACGACGGAAUUGCCUUUGAUACUGUUUUUCUUGAAAUUUGUUGAGGUUGGCGGAAUGAGACAUGUAGCGGUGAAAUGCUUAGAUAUGUCUUAGAACACCGAUUGCGAAGGCAGCUGACUGGACAAUAUUUGACGCUGAGGCACGAAAGCGUGGGGAUCAAACAGGAUUAGAUACCCUGGUAGUCCACGCCCUAAACGAUGUUUACUUGCUGUUUGUCUUUCGGGAUGNGUGNGAGNGAGNGANAUAACACCNGGAGACGCCGCAGNGACACAANAGAUGNGNGNGAGAGNGCGAGACGACGACGAGGAGAGG
rnacentral:rRNA from 1 species